rnacentral:rRNA from 1 species
UACGUAGGGGGCAAGCGUUGUCCGGAUUUAUUGGGCGUAAAGAGCGUGUAGGCGGCUAGGUAGGUCCGUUGUGAAAACUCGAGGCUCAACCUCGAGCUGUCGAUGGAAACCAUCUGGCUAGAGUCCGGAAGAGGAGAGUGGAAUUCCUGGUGUGGCGGUGAAAUGCGCAGAUAUCAGGAAGAACACCCGUGGCGAAGGCGGCUCUCUGGUACGUGACUGACGCUGAGACGCGAAAGCGUGGGGAGCGAACAGG